AAAUCCGUAUAACAAUACUCCGAGAACUGAAAGGCUUUUUGAAGUCUUCGGAUGGAUAGAAGAACCCCUGAUGCCGUCGAGCCAAGAAAAGUUUCUAAGUUUAGCUAAUGUUGCCCGUACCGUAAACCGACACAGGUGGGUGGGAUGAGUAUUCUAAGGCGCGUGGAAGAACUCUCUUUAAGGAACUCUGCAAAAUAGCACCGUAUCUUCGGUAUAAGGUGUGGUUAGCUUCGUACUAGGAUUUACUCCGAAAGCGAAGAAACUUACAACAAAGAGUCCCUCCCGACUGUUUACCAAAAACACAGCACUCUGCUAACUCGUAAGAGGAUGUAUAGGGUGUGACGCCUGCCCGGUGCUCGAAGGUUAAUUGAUGGGGUUAGCAUUAGCGAAGCUCUUGAUCGAAGCCCGAGUAAACGGCGGCCGUAACUAUAACGGUCCUAAGGUAGCGAAAUUCCUUGUCGGUUAAAUACCGACCUGCAUGAAUGGCGUAACGAGAUGGGAGCUGUCUCAAAGAGGGAUCCAGUGAAAUUGUAGUGGAGGUGAAAAUUCCUCCUACCCGCGGCAAGACGGAAAGACCCCGUGGACCUU
rnacentral:rRNA from 1 species